AGCCAGAAAGGUGCCACGUGACAGGAACAAGCCAAAGCCCCAGCGGGCAGGGUAAACGCUACCGGAGGGUAUUAGCUGUUACAUGGUUCCUGUAUUCACCCAUCAUCGUGGUGGCUUGAGCCCCUGAAGAUCUAGAAACAAUAUAUUUAAACAUGAAGGCGCCAGAAAUCCUGCUUUGGACAGCAACAGCAUUUCUAUCUUUGAGUUCCAGCCAGGGACAAGGCAGUGUCACGCAAACACAAGGGCAGCUGGCAAAGUUGGG